UACGGGGGGGGCAAGCGUUGUUCGGAAUUACUGGGCGUAAAGGGCUCGUAGGCGGCCAACUAAGUCGGAUGUGAAAUCCCCAGGCUCAACUUGAGAACUGCAUCCGAUACUGGAUGGCUUGAAUUCGGGAGAGGGAUGCAGAAUUCCAGGUGUAGCGGUGAAAUGCGUAGAUAUCUGGAGGAAUACUGGUGGCGAAGGCGGCAUCCUGGACCGACAUUGACGCUGAGGAGCGAAAGCUAGGGGAGCAAACGGG
rnacentral:rRNA from 1 species